rnacentral:rRNA from 1 species
AGCGGAGGAAAAGAAACCAACAUGGAUUCCCCUAGUAGCGGCGAGCGAAGCGGGAUGAGCCCAGAUUUGAAAGCUCCCGCCAGGGCGCAUUGUAAGCUGGAGACGUGCCUCGAGCGGCGCGGCUGGACGCCAAGUCUGCUGGAAAGCAGCAUCAGAGAGGGUGAGAAUCCCGUGCUUGGUCUGGCUGUGGCGCCGUGUUGUGGGGUGCGCUCGACGAGUCGCGUUGUUUGGGAAUGCAGCGCAAAGCGGGUGGUAAACGCCAUCCAAGGCUAAAUACCGGGGAGAGACCGAUAGCGAACAAGUACCGUGAGGGAAAGAUGAAAAGCACUUUGGAAAGAGAGUUAAACAGUACGUGAAAUUGCCAAGAGGGAAGCGCUGGCAGUCAGUGCCGUAGCUGUGUCUCUCUGUGGAUGCAGUGGGGCCCGCAUCGGUUGCGUGUGGGGGAGAAGGCAGUGCGGAAGGUGGCUUACCUCGUGUGAGUGUUAUAGCCGUGCUGUGGAUGCCCUGCGUGCGACCGAGGACCGCUCUUUGACAGGAUGCGGGCUUAAUGGCUUUCAGCGGCCCGUCUUGAACUAGG